ACAGAGCCAAACCACCAUGAACCCUCCAAAAAUUGAAUUUUUAUCAUGCACCGCCCUUGCCCACAUCAGAGAUAUCAUUUUGGGAUUAAACAUCAACAUAUCAAUUGUCAUUGAAGUUCUAUCGAACAUAAUAUCAUUUCGUGCCAGCCACACUAACCAACAAAUCGUUAAAACUGAUAACAUCCAUAAACUUUUAUGAAAACCUUUCAAAUUCACAUUAAGCAUAGCGAGUAUAGUUCAGCAAAGCAAUCAAUUGUUUUCCACUAAAAACC
rnacentral:lncRNA from 1 species